UUAGGACAAAUUAACUAGUAAAAGUCUAUAUUGUCCUUAGGUUAAAAAAACCCUAAAAAUAAAUUUUUUACUAUUAUUCUUCUUUUCCUCCUUCAUUCUCGCGUUCUCCUUCUCCCUCGCUCUCUUCUACCGAGCAAAAUGGAGGGACUUCAACUUUCUCCUUUCUUAGUCGCCGUCGUCGUCUCCUUCACCGUCGCCGAUUGUUCAAGCCUCCGUGGUGGUCAGUCCAUGUUUGGAAUGUAAGAUUCUGCAUCAGAGAUGCGUAGAGAAAUGCAUAUUGGCCCCCUAUUUUCCUCCCUCUGAGCCUCUCAAGUUCACCUUGCUCACCGCAUCUUCAGCACUAGCAACAUCAUCAAAUUGCUUAUGAAAACAUCUCCGGAAGAAACUCGGGUAGGAUUAGAACUGUAGCUGCCAAAAGAAGAAUGGGUUCCAAUUAAUCCUCUCCUGGUUGGAUUUGGACAAAAUAUUUGCAUUUCCCUUAGACCCAAAUGUGAAAAUUGAAGUAUUAGUGACCUAUGCUCAUCUGCAUUCAAUGAGUCUUCAACACCAUCACCCAAAUUAAAUGGUUCAAGUUCUACCAAAAAGUUGUGAUCAUCGUUCUGUACGGAUGAAUAUAUUUACUUAGUCCUACAUUUUUCCCAAGUUUUUGGUUUUCUAUCUUUUUGUUUUUUUGUUUUUGGCACCAUAAUGGUUUACGAAUUUAGAUGUUCCAUUAUGGUUUAUAUCGCCAAGUGUUGAAUAGAUAGAUAAGUGGAUAUUGAAGGAUCUCAAUUGGCCAAUGUUGUGUAGAACGAACUUUGUUAUUGAUAUUAUAAUGUAUAUCAGUCCUUGGUGCGGAUUUUACAUUAUACCAUAA